rnacentral:lncRNA from 1 species
GAGAAAAAAAAAGGUCGUUUCUAGAAGAGAAUAUUCCUCAAGAAGAUGCAAGCAUAAAAGUUAUUGAUUGAGAACAAUAGGGUCCAAAACAACCCACUUCCCGCUCAUUUAUGAUAUUUCUAUGACAUUGACUCUUCAUUGCUUUAUGAAUUACAAUUUGACAUAAAAAAAAUCAUAUUCAGCCGUUAGCUUUAUCGUUUAUAUUUUGACUAUAAUUAUAUUAUACUAUUGGUUGCAAGCUUUAUCGCUCAUUCUUUAACCAUAGUUCAUCACUUUUACUUCAGUCCAAAGCUUUACUACUUAUAUUUUGGCUGUAAGAAUAUUGUUCUAAUGUUCACAAGUUUUAUCGCUCAUUCUUUGACCAUAAUUUAUUAUUCAUAUUCCAGCCGCUAGCUUUAUCGUUUAUAAUUUGGUUGUAAUGAUGUUAUGCUAUUGGUCUCAAGUUUUAUCGUUCAUUUUUUGGCCCUAACCUAUUACUCACAAAUUGGCCGUAGCUUUUACACUUACUUAUUUAAAGGAUUGAAUUAAUCUCCUUCACGUCAAGUUAGAGUUAACCUCCUUGAUAUAAAGUUGAGAGUUCCUUUUAGGCACAUACAAUGUGAAAUAUGAAUAAGUAAGCAAUAGGCGUAUAACAUUAUUAUUAUUAUUGCAAAAAGAAAAAGAAAUACAAUAUAACAAUAGCAAAGUACUAGCUCAAAUGAGCUUUCAAAAGACUAACCAAUUACAUAUUCCAUAAAAAACAGCUACUAUUGACAAAGAUAUCUAAUUGUUCUCGUACUUCAGUUUCACGUUUUCUUAGUGAAGCUAUUUUUGUCGUAAUGUCUUCUAACUCUUUUUCCAAAGAAGACUUGUUGAGAAAAGCUUUGACUCUAGAUCUACAAUCAUUGAGGCAUUCAAAUUUGAAUCCAACGUUACAAGCAUCAUCGAAAUCCCAUAACAUCUACUACAAUUCCUCUGGUGAAGUACUCAUUAAUAGAGCAUGGGAAAUGGCUAGAGCUUUAUCUAACACUUCCAUCAUUAAACAAAUGACAUCCAUGUUCUUAAAAAAGGAAGUACUCAAAAAUUCUCCUUUUAUACUGAAAAUUUGCUCUAAGUAUUCCACAUAUUUUGAAGAAAUUUGAAAACUAUGGAAGUUACUUUUUUACCACUCUGUUCAGCACAUGCUACUUGAGUACCAGAAACAUUAUUAGCAUCUUUGUGUGCUGGCACUGGAAAGGAAGAAGCAUGAGAAUUAAUCAGAGUAACUCUAAUAUCAUUAAUAACAACUCCAACAUCAUGAAUAGCCUCAAUAUUUGGAGUUGCUCCAACAUUAUCGAUGACAACAUCAGGAAUAGCUCUAGCAUCAACUCCAACAUCAAGUACAACCUCAACAGUAGGAAUAACCUUAGUGUUGGGAAUAACCUCAAUAUUAGGAAUAACCUUAUAUUGAAUAACUUGGGCAGUAAGAAUGAUCUUAAUUUCAAAAGAAAAAAAAUCAACAUCAAUUGGAGUAACAUAAUAAUAUGUUUAUACUUGGUUCAUAGUGGAGCCCUGAACAUGAAAAGGAAAUAGAACAUCCAAAUCAAUGAAAUCAUCAAAAGGGGCUAGCUAACCUUCAACUUCAGCUUCAUCAACAUCAACAGACUCAUCAUCAAAUUCAUCACUACGUUCAAAGUCACAUGAUUCUUCCUCAAUCUCAGCUUCAAAAGUCUAUUCCUCUUCAAUCGAGUUAAGUUUUACUCUCACAGUUGUUUCUCUCUAUAAAAAAAAUAAUAAGAAAAUGAAUUUAAAAAAAAUAAAAGAUGAAGUAAAGGCUGAACUUACUUUUUAAUGUACAUGUUUUUUUUUAUUAGUAAAAGCGUGAGAAUCAUCAUCUUCUUCUUCAUUUACAUUUCUUUUCUUUUUGAGAGAAAUCAAGCGCAAGUAUACAUCAGUGUUACCUACAAGAGGAGUGUAGAAACAAGCUUUGGGAUUAGUUAAAGGCAAAAUAAAAGAUCUCCAUUCUUCAACACACUUUCUCUAAUAAGCAAACCAUCCAAAAGUGUGGAUACCAACUCUAUCAAAAGUUAGGACAGUAUAACUUUUAAGUUUAUCUAAACAAAGUUGAAGUCUUACCCUAGGAGAUGAAGAAACGUAUGAAGAAAAACUAAUAGAAGAAGAAGAGUCAGGAGGAGCUAGUUGGUCAAACCCAAAUUGGCAUGCCAUGCUGUAAGGAGAAUAUACCUUGACGAAAGAAAAUUUCUAUCUCCACUUGAACUAGAACUCUCAAUCAUAGAUGGAAAUUAGGAACUGUGAACCUAUACACAAAAGUUAAUACCUUGUGAACUAAUUCUUCUUGAUUGUAGAGGGUGGUGAUCAUAAUAAAUUUUAAGAUCACAAAAUCCAUCAAUGGGUUGCACAUAAGGGCUGGGAUUGAAUUCCUUUGUCACAUCCAUCACUUCAAAAACAUUACCUUUCGAGAGUUGAUCAUGCCAUGGCCAAGCUUUAUAGUUGUUCUUGGAUAGAGGGUUAUUCAGGGAAAAAGAUGCAAAAGGAUAUGCAUUAGGCACGGGAGUGCAAGUACCAAACCUUUCCCAUAAGCACAUCUAAAUGAAGGAAUCAUCCACAUAAGUCAAAACUUUGUAACACCUAGCUGACUCUACAGUUUUGAGUUGGUAAAAGUUUAUCCUCUUAUAUAGAGAUCCUAAAUACAGUGGACCAAAAGGAAAAUGUAUUAUCUUGACAAUUUUUAUUGUGAAAGGAACAACAGCUGAAGAGAUACCAUCAUCUGACGCUUUGGGAAUAUAUGUCGUGCCAACUAAAAAAUUAUUAAAUCCACUAGCUCAUGCUCAUGGUUUAGGUAAUCAAAAGGACCAAUUUCAUUUUCCUUAGCGUUGAACUUUUUAUAAAGAAACCCUAUCCAAUUGGUGAACCGUGCAACCUCUGAAGUUUUACUCAAAUUCUUGAGUAGAUCAAAGAAAAAUUCUCGAAGACAUAUAUCUUCUUUAGAAAGCUUGAUAGAGUGAAAAUCAUGCUUCCCCAUGCAAAGAAGUUCCAAGAGAAUACUUACAUCUUCCAGAGUGAAAGUAAAUUCCUCCAUGUUGUAAUCAUAAUAUGAGAAAAAGUGUUCCACCUUGCAAGAAUAGCAUGCCAUACAUCCAUCCUUUUCUCUCUACGAAUAUUGAGCUCGAAAGUGAGACGUACAACAUUAAGUAUUCCAAUAGAUGAGAGAAGUUUAACAUAAGUAAGAUUAUUCAACAACUUAUUUACCCAUUCAUCCCAGCCAUGAAAAAAUUGAGAAUUGGAGCCUAGCUUAGUAGUAGAAAGUGGAAACUCAUCACAUUCAAACUUGAACUUAAGAAUGGAUAAUCUCGAAACACUACUUCUUUUAUGAUGAGGUGCUUCUAAGCAUAGACAAUUCUAAUCAUUUCCAACAGGCUCAAAGGGAUGUUCGUCAACUUGCCUGGCACGAAUUUCCUCCCAAAAAUGAUCUUCUCCUCUUCCUCUAAUAAUUUUAUCUUCCAAAUUUUCAGGGACAAGAAGAACUUCACCACUUUUUUCUACUCUAAUUUUCUUGGGAGGAAUUACUUCGGAAUCAUUACUCUUCCUUUUAUGUGCAGUAGUUUUUUAUCUUGUUACAACCGUUCUAAACUCACCAUAAUGGAUCUUUGGAAGGAAAUGCCUCCUAAGCAUAGAGAAAGAUGGAAAAAGAAUCCUAUAAACAUGAUCAUAGAAAAAGAGAUAAGUAUACACACACAAUAAUUUUUUUAUUUAUGUAUUUAUUAAGUAUAAAAAACACAACAACAACAAAGUAAAAACAACAAAACUUAUCAAAAUUAUAGAUUUUGAUAUUAUUUUUAUUUUUAAUAAUAUAUAUAAUAAAAACUUAUACAUAUAUAAUAUAAAAAUAUAUACAAUAAAUAAGUAAAACUUAAAAAAAAUCUACAACUUCUAAUAACAAUAACAUAAUAAUAAUAAAAUAAUUACAAAAUUAUAAUUACAAAAAUAACAUAAAAUAAAUCUACCGUGAGCUCCAAAACGCGUGUCGCAAGCACCAAAAGAAAGUUCCAUAUUAAAAUUAUAAAAAAGUAUCACAAAUGCCACAAGCUUCAACUCAAAAGCCAAGUAAAAUAAAAAUAAAUAAAGGGAAAGCUAUGGUGUAACUUAAGCCUAAAACAAAAGCAAUGUUUCCAAGGUCCUCCUUUUACACUUUUGCUUAUGCUGUGAGCUCCAAACCAAACUUCAAACUAUCUAUAACUUACAUAAUUUGAAGAUCUAAAAUUGAUUCUAUAUUUGACCAUGUUUUUAUUCCCAUAAGCUGUCAUGUGUAAAGUUGUAACUUAAUAUAGAAAGAAGACCCAAUGCAGCUUCCACAAUUUGCCACGUUGGGGUUUUCAGAGAUUGACACAUUACUUUUUCAAUGGCCUUUUCAAGAAGAUUUUUAGGCUUUUGGUCUUGCUUUAGCUAAAGGGUCAACUUGGGCGGGCGGCAUGCCCACAUCCUUUUGCUUUAGCUAAAGGCUUUUGGUCUUUCAAGAAGAUUUUUUCAUGAACAUUUCUUACAAUAAACUUUUUUUUAACCCGAGUGCAAAGCAAGGGGUAAAAUCUAGUAAAAAAAAACAAGAGAAAAAUCGUGGCUUGUGUUGUGAACAAUUAAAAAGCUACAAACAAUAUAGCUUUCUAAAGAAGUAAAAAGACAACAUAAGGUUAAAAAAUCAAAGGCACCAAAGACCAAGUAAAACAAGAGCUCGGAAUCCACGCAUUACUCUUCAAAGGAAAGAAAAAUAUUAUAAUAAUAAUUAGUAUUACUAUUAUUAUUUUUGACAUCUUCUUAUAAAAUCAAAUAAUUUGUUUAUCUACUUGAAUAUAUAUAAAAAAAUUCUUUCAAUAAAAAAUUUCAUCUUAUGUAUGAAAAAUUUUUUAUUUCAUAUUUUAACUUGUUCAAAAAAAUUCGCAAAAGAACAAACAUUACUUUGAAUUUUGUUUUUCUUAAAAUUUGAAUAAAAAACUUGUUCAUUGUAGCUUCAUAUUUAUAGAGCAUAUAGAAUCAAGGUUUUUAUAAAAAAGGUUAACUUUUCUUUUACGAUUUGUAUCUUGAAAAUUUUAUUUUAUGACAAUAUAUUGUUUAUAAUCAAUCAAAUAUUACACAAACAGUAAUAUGUUAUUACUUAAAACAUUACUGCUUAAGAUAUUACUAUCCAAGACAGUACUACUUAAGACGUUACUGGUUGAGGUGUUAUAGUACAAUACACUAUGAUACAAAAUAAAACUUUUCCCUAAAUUAAUGCAUGAGAAUUAUUCUUAAGUAAGAAUUCUUAUGCGGAGGGCAGAAAUGUGGAUAUAUGAUUUUGGUUAAUACUUAUUCUCUAAAGAAUAAUGUUACAAUAUAAUAAUGUACAAAGAACAAUCAAAACAAGUGAAUCACUACUUCACGCAGAACAACUAAAACAAGUGUAGCGCUACGUUACGCAGAACAACUAAAAUUAGUAAAGCACCACCCCAUAUGGAACAACUAAUACAAGUAAAAACAAUUACUUUGCACGAAAUAAUCACUUCAUAUGAAUGAUAGUGAAAACGACUCGAAAUAAGUGGCAGUGUUUAUAAAUUACUUUCAUCUUGGAAUGUUUCAGAGAGAUUGGCUUGAUAGCAUAUAUAUGAAGGUAGUUAAUAGAUCUUCCUAUUAACCUUUUUCAGAAGUACAAGUGUUACACCCUUCUACCUUGUUCUUGUAUAUUUGUUCACAUACAUCUUCUUCUCUUGUACUUUUUUAUAUAUACUUCAUCUAUAUUACCUUUUAUUCAAAAAUAAGUCUUAUUACACUUAAUUACAUUAAUGAUUACUCACAUUAAAGUUCUUUAUAACAACGGCAUUCAUGAGACGCAUUAAAAUUUAUUCUUAAGUAACUGUCACUUUUAACACUAUAUAUAGAGCCUCACAAUUCACUUAGAGGGGCUCUUCCCUCCCUCAGGGGCUAAGCAUUCUCCUCAAGAGCUUCUCUCUCUAAUUCUUUUCUACUCUCUAAUUUUCUUUUAAUUGUUUUCGUCUUGCCACGACACUCAGCAUUUAAGGAACUAUUUCAAUCUUCCUCUCCACCACCUCCGACGUAUCUUUUUACUUGUUUACAACAUUUCCUCUCCUUAUCACAAAAACUCCCUUUACAACCCCAAAAGCAGAUUUGGAUCAACUUCUAGUCCCAUGGCACAAUACCCCUUUUCUUAGAAUAAAAGCAAAACAUUGUUAUACUAUUUCAAAACUAAGAUCUCUACUCUAGUCAGCUGAUCAUGCCCACCCCUUAUAACACUCAAGCUAAAGUUUGGAUGGGGACCUAAAGACUGCUGAUGGCAACAUCUGAGCAAUUUUUGUCUUCAGGCUUAAGUUUGCUCCCUUAUAAAAUCAUGGAAUCCUGUCUACUAUUAGCUUACUAAAAAUGAGCUUUUUAACCCCAAAAGCGGAAGCUCCGGUGCGAAGAGAAAGACCAGGAAAGCAAGUUCACAAAGAGGGGCAUCCCCUAGUUUUGGGCUUCGUAUAUUAAAGACUGGGUAGGCUGGGAAUAGCGUGACCAAGUCGCGAUUCCAGCGGGGAGCCGAAGGAAGACUAGAAACACAAGUCUUGCCUAUUUUAUCAUGGUGUAUGACCGUCGAAAUCAUCAAGAUUUUAUCUAUUAUUAUUAUUAUUAUUAUUAGUUGUUGUGAUAGCCAAAUACUAAAAACUGAGGCAAAAUAAGUUGAAGCAGAUAUAUCAGUAGUAUAAUCAACACGUGCCCGCAUUGGCUUCUCAACACAAGCUGAUAUUAUCAAGUUUUCAAAAGGGUGAUGAGAUAGCCAUAGAAUGCUGAAGUUGAAUACAAGAACUGUUCAUAUUUAUUGAUUACAACGAAUAAAAAAGGUUAUGUACACACUUAUGAAGCAGCGAGGUAACGAUGUCACUAGAGCAGUAGAGAGCAUCCCCAAUGAAAAGAACAACGAGGCUGCACAUAUAAUUACAGUUCAAUUAUUUUCUGUGCCCGGCUACCACAAUUCCACCCUUCAUUUCCAAUCAAGCAUGUCUAAUAGCCACAAUACCUCUUCUUUCGAAUUGGCAGCAUCACAAAAAUCCAUUUCAAUUCCAAAAACAUCAAUGACACCAUCAUUUCCAUCUUCCAUGAAAAGCAAAGAGAUCCAUGCCCGGAUUCCUGAAAUGAAGGGGUAGUUGGGAGAGAAGUCGAGGUAGUCGAAUGCAAGGGCCCUAUAAGCUGUUCUAUCUAUAUAAUCAAACAGUGAUUUAUUAAUAAUGCAAGCAACCUUAUUGGAGUCCUUCCGCUCCACGAGCACUGAAACACUCACAGUCUGGCUCCAAGGAACGGUGAACCUUGGCUCAACAGGUAAUGUCAUUUUGUACUCAGGACCCUCAAGAUGAAACUUAAGCAUGUCACAAAUUCCAGUAGGUGGGAUCUUGAUUCCAGUCUGGAGGACAGGGCCGGGGACAACUUCAGAGAAAAUCAAUUUAUCUUCUGUCCAAAUGUCAAUGAAGAAUUCCAAAUCAUCAAAGGAAAGUCUUGGAGGGAGAAGAGUGCGCUUAUGCUGCCGUUUAUAAAAGGUUUGAUACAGUUUGUAGUAGGUUACAGUAGGAGGGUUGGGCCGCUUGCAAAUGGAAGGCCAUCUCUUUGCACAUACACAUCUCCAAAAGUAAUCAUCUCUAGCUAUGUCUCUCCAUUGCUUACAGACCACCAUGCAAGCUGCAAGGUCAAUGCCAUCUAAUAAAGGAAAAACAACCUUCAAAACUUCUUCACAUGACAUUUUCAGAUUGCAAAAUGACCAUCAAAAGCCAAAUCACUAUGUGCUCCAGCAAACUGGAAUCAUUUACAACAUCAGAAGGUGUUAAGGACCCAAUUGCUGAUGGGUUCCUGUGAAAAAGACAAGGUCAACUUUUAAACUCAAGAGCAUCUACGCAUCAGCAUUACGUUCAAAGCAAAAACAUUGCACACACAUGUCGUGGCAAGUUGUCUAUAUUAUGAAAACAGAAAAAAGUAACAUUUAACAAUGCAUUUAACAGAAAAAAAUAAUAUAGAAAGGUAUUCUACCCUCCUGCAAAACUAAAACAUUAUUCCAAACAACCACUUCUGCCCUAAACAAGUCUUUCAAGACUAUAAGCACCAGUCUUUUACCUCCCCAAAGAUAGCUACUUGCCUAUUGUACUGAAAAAUUAUCUGAUUAGGUAAUUACCCUCUAAAUACAAAUGCAACUCGUAUAAGUAGACACACAUUGACACCUUAAUAUAAAGAUAUGAUACUAGCGCUUAACCCCGACUCGAUUAGGUUUCCUUCCUAGCAGGACAAAAACACAUUGCAAUACACAAAUGCACAGAGUAAAAGACACACAUCAUGUGAUUUUAAAGCAGUCAAUUUACACUAUUAACACUUCAACAACAUGAUAAAUCGCCAAUGCAACACCGAUUUGACAAAUAUUCUACUUCAUAUAAUAACUAUCUAGCUUCGUAUAAUUCACAUUACUAGAACUCAAAAACACAAAUAAUUUUUAAGACUGAUCUUAAAAUUUCCACUAGAACCCAAGUAUUAUCUAACAACUACAGCACAAAACUAAAUCAAAAUUCCAUCAGAAUUCAUAAAAUAAAACCCUAAAAAUGGUAUCCAUAACAAAAAGAUCAUAACUUUACAUAAAUUAAGUAAUGGUAAAACGAACCCACAAACAGAAAAAUCAAAUCAAACACACUAUUAUUCCAAAUCUGACGAUAAAUCCGAACUUUCAAUUUCAUACAUGAAAAAUUCACCCAAAAAAAAGCGUAAAAAUGGAUAAAAAGAAAGGGGGGGGUGGGAAAGAACAAACCCCAGAUCGAGAAAAAGCCCAAAAACUGUGUAGGAGAUUGGCAACGAAAAGAAUUGGUUAGAAUUAUUAGGCAACCGAACUUUUGGUGAAAAUUUUGGGGGAAAUUUCGGGAGAAUUUGUUUUUAGCGUUGAACACAGAAAGAAAAAUCUGAAGAAGGUUAGACAAAGGAAGAAAGAGAAAGAGAUAUAGAGAGAGAGAAAAUAAUUUAAGGGAGAGAGAGACAGAGAGGCUGCGGCUUGGAAAAAGUUAAUAAAAGAGACAAAGCCUCCACAUAAAGCAAUGUUUAAUUUAAUCAAAUCAAGUAUGAUUGAUGGUUUGGGUUUUAGUCGUAGCAAGUUGGCCAUUCUUUGCAUGGGCUUACUUUGGACCAGCACCAUGCUUUUCCAGCAUUCAUUGCUCUAGCCGACCCAUCCCCAGGGGAUAGAAGCCCAGCAUUUUUAGGCCAUGGCUACACAUGGGCCUAAGCCUGGCAACGACUUGAUACUUUUUUCCUUUUGUAUUAACAUUUUUAAAGUUAUAAAUAAGUUAUUGUUAUAUAUGGAUACCCGUGAUUAUGUAAUCCGAUAAUAUAGGGUUCAGUUAUGAGUGGAUUAGGCGGGUUCAGUUAUGAGUGGACUCUAAACCAAAAUUCGAUUAUAUAUAACGUUACAAAAUUUUUAAAUUUUGUGAAGUUUGACUCUUUGCCUUUCUUAGUUUAACACAAUCUUUGUCAUAUCAACUAACUUGUUUUUUUGUAAACUAAUAAAUGUAAUAGUAGUUUGUAUUAAUUGAACUAUAGUGCAAACUCAAAUAUGUAAAAUUUUAUUAUUAGUAAGGAUUUAACUCAUGAGAGGGUUGGAAACUUAAACUAAAUUUAUCAUGUUUAAUUAACAAAUUAAUUAAGAAUAAGUUAAACUAAAUUCAAUAAUGCACACUACUAUAAAAAUAAACAAAUUCAAAUAAAAAAUCUAAUAAUAACAAAGUAAAAUUACCAAAAGUUCCAAUAGCAAUACAAAUACAAUUAAACAAAUAUAAAUCUAAAAUAUAAAAAUUCACCAAAUAAAAUUUAUAAAUUAGAACAAAACCAAGCCAUUAAUCAAAAACUAAAACAUAUAAUAUUUUACGUAUAUAUCGCAAAAGUGAGGCAAGGAUAUAAAUAUAUAUUCUCGUCUUCGCCCUUGUUUGCGCUGAAAAAGUCAUUUCUUCCUUAUUCCCAUUACUUAUUUUUUAUUUCUCGAACUCGACCCAUCGGGAUAGAGAAUCAAGUUCCUUGUGGGAUUUGGGUGAGAUUGAUAAAUCCUCAAAUUUGAUGAUUUUCAUUUUCAUCUAUUGUUGUGUUUAAUAUCUUUAAUUUUGGGAGGAAAGUUAAGUUAGGAGUCAUGCAUGUAACAUGUCUUAAAUAUAUGGAUAAUUCUAAUUGAACAUAUUUAUUAAUUGAAUUGAUUUAAGUACCUAUGACAAAUAAGGAUAACAAAUGAAAUUUUCAUAAUAUUAAAAUCAUCUCAUAUUUAGAAACUGGUUCACUUUGUUGUCUUCUUAACAAUCUUUAUGGCUCCUAUAGACACCUAUACCCAUGGAUCCUAAACAAAAAUAAUAAUAAAUAAUAAAUAAAAUUAAUAAAUCACUCUUAAAAAAAAACUGAAACUGACGGUUUCAAUAUGCCUUGCUUCUUUCUCCUACAGUCAACUGAUCAGAUGUUCAGGUUUAUGGCUACCCUAUUGCUUUUCUAAUCACUAUCACUUUGAUACUUAGGAAAUAACCUGCACAGGGCAUUUAUUGCCUCUUAAGCAGCUAGAUUUAGGUCACCUUUGACUGCCACCGCCAGGUUUCUUUUACUUGAAGCCCCUCACCUAUAAAACCAUACUCAGAAGAGCAUGAUUUUACUUUUGGAUUAUCCAAAAACUUGGACAAUUAGGUUCUAUAAGAACCCUUGAAAUUCAUAAGAAAGAAGGGGUCAAUUUUACAAAACUUAGCAGCUAAUUUCACCACAGAAGCCUUAGGUAACCAAUUCCAAAAAAAGAGAGAAAACCCUAAAGCUAAAGAAAAACAAAAAAAAUCCUAACUUUCUGUCCUAUCAAGUAGCCAAAUACCACAAUCAAAAGAUUAAGAAAAGCAUAAAUAAAAAAUAGCAAAAAGUAAUAAAAAAAAGCCUUGAAAAUUUGAAAACUAGAAAGGACCAAUGGGGUUUGUUUUUCCUUCUUUUCUUUUGGGAUCUUCACGGGAUUUAGGGAAUUUAUGGCCUGUGGUUUUCGAUCGGUUUUGUUGGGGAGUGAUUGUGAGGGAGAAAAAGAGGAAGUUGAUGAAAUCGAUAGAGAAGAGGGGCAAUUGACAAGGUAGGCUGACUGUCAUGACCUGAAACUCCCAUCGAGCCCGUGACAAUUGUCGCGACGUCCCGAUAGGCACUCAUUACCCCGAAUGCCGAUUGAAAUCCCGUAAGACUUAGCAUUAGCUUCUGAAUCUCCCCAGUGAGCGACAGUUAUUAAAUCUCACAUUUCAAAAAAAAUCAUAAGUCAUUUCCAAAUCAAAACAAUAAAAUAUUACUUUCUGGCUCACAGGGGUAUUUUCGUCAUUUUUCUUCGAAAAUACCGAAACUCGCCAAAAACAUGGUGUAAAAGCUAAAUAUAUUCAUACAUAUCUUAAAUUAAAUAACUGAAGAAUAAAAUUACUUUUACAGUGACACGUGGACCCCCAACUAACUAAGAAAAUAUAGGGUUAUGAAUCCUUACUUUCUAAGAUGCAACUCCGAGAUUAAUUCUCGUCUUAAUCAACUAUCAACAAAUUGUCUUGAGCCUGAAAAAUGUAUAGGAAGAAGGGUGAGAUUAUAAAAUCCCAGUGAGUAGACAGACAUCAUCAAAAUAAUUUAAAGCCGAGUAAUAUGAGACAAUUAAAAUAAUUCAUCCCAACCCAUAUAAAUAAUUGGAUUGCAUCCAAUUACUCAACAUGGCUUAUGAACUUUUCAAAAACUUGGCUUUUGCCAAAAAUCCAUUCUCGGGGAUACCCCGCGAAGGCAUCUUACCGAGACCGCCAAGGCUGUUUAUUGUCACACACACAAACACAUUUCACCUCUGACAACACAGCCGUUCCUUGGAGUUAGCUGAGUCCCAAUUUCACGUGGUGGCCAACGUGAAGUGUACUCAAAUCCUACCUCGAGAGUUAUCUUACGCGCCUCUCCAAUCGAGGUAAGCUCAAUAAUUGGGAACUGUGCCCCUCUAAUUAGGCUAACCCACAGAACCCCCGUCACUGCAGUGCCCACUUUAUAAUCCACCAACCAAUAAAAUCACAAUAGUAUGACAUGGCUCACUUAACACAUUCAAGGUAAAUCAAAGCAGUUCACAUAUUCUUAAAAUCAUAAAAAUAACCAAUCAUACCCACAUUUAUCAUAAGCCAUUUAAUGUAAAAUCAUAGAUAAACAACACAAUCAUAGUAUAGGUCUCCAAUUACUCUAUUUUUGAAAUCAUUAUUAAAUUUUCAAAAAUAUUAUAAAAUUAUUUUAUAAAAUCCCAUUUUACCAUAAAACACAAUAAUUUUCCAAUUAAACCAUUUUUUCAUAAAAUCACACAAUUAAAUAAAUCUACUCUAGAUAAUUAAGACGAUAGUAAGUUUACUCACUGUACUAGGAGUCGAUAUACUCCUAUUUUCAAUCCGCGGGUACAGUCCUUUACCCGUAUCUAAUGGCUCACCACCUAGCCAUAAUCCAUGGCACAUAUUUCAAUUAAAUUGUGUCUAACAGUCAUAAGCUAUUUCAGGCUCGAUAUAUAUGCAUGAUAUGAAAUGAAAAAUGCACAGGUAGCCAUCUAGACCCGGUAUUGACCUAAGUCGAUUUUUCAUCCAAUAAAUUGGCCAAUGCGUCCAAUUUCACUCCAACUUUCUCCAUUUCUUUUCCAAUCCCUCAAUUCACCAAGCACAACUAAUUAACACACAAUUAGGCAAAUUUAUCUUCACUUUUCUUCUUGGAACUUUCGGCCAUUGAAGGUUCAUGGGGAAAAUGGAUUCUUUUCUUGUUGUUUUGUUUCUAAACAUGUUUAACUAACUCUAAACACCAACAUAACUCAAAAUCAAACAAUUCCAACAUCUUUCUCUCUCCAUACCCAUUUUGACCAGCCAUAAUUUCAUCAUGAAAACAUGUAAUUUAACCAUGGAAAUUAAGGAAAAAUGCAUGGGUAAGGUAAAUCACUAGCAAAAUCAAAGAAAUUUUACCUUUGCUUGAUCAAAUCCUUGAAUUCCAACACUUUCUCUUUGAUUUUUCCCACCUAGGGUUUGUUCUUCCUUGGUUUCUCUUCUCUUCUGGUUUGGCUGAUCACUAUGGGAGAAAUGGGCUGAUUUUUUUGCCUUUUUAUAAAGAAAUAAUAAAAUAAUAAAAACAUGACACAUGGCAUUUCCUUAUUGGCUCAAAUUUUAAAUAUUUGACUUUUAAUUCUUUAAUUCUCCACCACACAUUUCUCAUGUUUAUCCAUUUCCAUGAUGAAUAAAAUCCCUUGGUCUUGACAAGUGUCGGGGGUGAAAAUUUACCGAUUUGCCCCCGGGGUGGCAAAAUUACCAUUUCACCCUUAUACUCCAAAUUAUACCGAAAUUAAAAUUUUUCACUUCUAAACUUCAAAUCAUACUCCAAUACUUAAAUCAUACUCCAAUAAGUCAAAUGGACCAAAAAAAAUCUUUUCUAAAAAUUUUCAUUUUGUCCCCAAGUGGCAAAUGACCAUUUUACCCCUAGAUAGUGAAAAUUCCAGUUUGACUCCAAAUUGAUCCUCGAACUCCGAAUUACCAUUUUGAGUCAUCCAUGAACUGUGAAACUCUUAAUUUCACCUUAAAAUUCCUAUUUGAACUAGUUCGAGGCUUAAUCGACUUAAUGAUACCAUUAGGGGCAAUAUCGUCUUUUAACGAUUUCUCGAACUUCCUAAAUAUACAAACAUUCUAUCGAGCAUGUGAAUGACAUUAUAAUUAUUUUACAAAGCAGGGUUUGACACCGACAGUGAGAGUAGUGACUGUUUAGGGAAAGAAGAAAGGGUGAAGAAAGGGGUUGAAGAACAAGCUCAGAGAAAAGGGGGAGGAAAACUGUAAUUAGAGAGAGAAAAUGGGAAGGUGAAGUGAACAGAGAAGAAAGAAAAAUAGUUUUUAUACUUAAGGUUAACACCUGAAAACGACACCAUUUUAAGAAGUAAAAAGGGAAGGAACAUCAGUCAAAUGACGUCGUUGAGGACAUUUGGGAAGUUAUAGCAUAAGCACUAAAAUGGUGCAAUUUGAGUAAAGCUCUGUGAGCCUUGGGAAGCAGAUCUGUUGAAGUGGGGUUGUGUCAUGACCCGAAACUCCCAUCGGCCCCGUGACAACCGUCGCGACGUCUCGAUAGGCACUCAUUACCCCGAAUACCGAUCGAAACCCCGCAAGGCUUAGCAUCAGCUUCCGCAUCUCCCCGGUGAGCGACAGUGAGCGACAGUUAUUAAAUCUCACAUUGCAAGAAAUCAUAAGUCGUUUCCAACUCAAAACAAUAAAAUAUUAUUUUUUAGCUCACAGGGGCAUUUUCAUCAUUUUUUUUUAAAAUUUCGAAAUCCGUAAAAAUGUAAUAUGUAAGUGGAAACGCAUAUUUCAUGAUUUAAAUUAAAUUUUGAAGUCUAAAACAUUCGUUUAAAGUAAAAUUAUAACUAUUUGAAUAUAAUAAAAAUAUUAAAUAAAAUAUUCUAUUUUCUUAAAACACAAUAUUUUCAAAGUCUUCCUAAAAUAACUUUUGUAGCGUAAGAGUAAAAUAAAUUUAUUCAUAUAGUAAUAAAGAUAAUUAAAGUAUGAAAUUUCGUUUACAGUGACACGUGGGCCCCCAAUUGAGCAAGAAGGUGUAGGGCUAUGAAUCCUUACUUUCUAGGAUGCACUCCGAGAUUAAUUCCCGUCUUAAUCAACUAUCAACAAACUGUCUUGAGCCUGAAAAAUGGAUAGGGAGAGGGGUGAGAUUAAAUAAUCCCAGUGAGUAAACAAUUACCAUCAAAAGCAUCUAAAGUCGAGUAAAUGGAGACAAUAUAAAAACGUUAUAUCUCAAUAAUGUUCAUAACACAAAAUUCGUUUCAAUCUAUACCAAACAAUUUCUUUUUAUCAAAAUUUUUCGGCUUAUGAAUUUCUUAAACUUGGCCCCUGCCAGAAUCAUUCUCGCGGGUACCUUUGUCAAGGUAUCCCACUGAGACUGUCAAGGCUGUUCAAUGACCCAUACCCAUAAACAUGUUUUCACAUUUGACACACAGCUGUUCCUUGGCGUUGGCUGAGUCUCACUCUCAUGUGAUGGCUCGAACGUGAGGUGCACUCAAAUCUUACCUCAGGAGAUACUUCAUCCAACAUCUCCCCUCGGAGGUAAUUAUAUAAUUGGGUUACCGUACCCCUCUCAUAGGCAGUCCACGAAAACCCCAACCACUGCAGUGACUGUUUAAUAUACCACCAGACCCAUAAAAAUUUCAGCAGCAUAAUAUGGCGAAUAAAAUGUAAUCCAGUCUACCGAGACCAAUCCAAAACUGUUCAUAUAUUUCAUGCCAACCCAAAAAAAUUUAGCCAUCAUGCUACCAUAGUGUCAUAAGCCACAAUUUCAAUAACAUAUAAAAUCAUAAAUUUCAACACAGUCUCCAUAUACUCAAAUUUCUCAAAACAAUAUUUGAUUUCAAAACCAGAAUAAAUCUCAUUUUUAUUAAAAAAUAUUUUAAUUAGAAAACAUAAUAUUUUAUAAUUUAAACUCACCAUUCAAUAAGAGCAUCAAACAAGUAUAAUUACUCUGGAUAUUUAAGAAGAUAAUUUGUCCACUCACAGUUCUAGGAGUCGAUGUACUCCUAAUCCCAGUCUUCAAGUACAAUCUCUGUACUUUUAUCAGUGUAAUUUGCUCACCACCUAUCCACAAUGUACAAUACAUAAUUCACCACAUCAAUGCUUGACCAUUAUAAAAUCAAUUCAGGCUCAGUCUAUAUGCAUGAUAUGAUAUACAACUUAUCCGACCAUCACUUAAAUGUGGUGCUGACCUAAUUCGGUCUAUUACCCGAUUAAAUCGAUAUACGUGCCUGUUUAAACUCCAAAUUAAUUUUUUUCAAUUUCUAUACCUCAAUUGCACCCAAAUUGACUUAAUGUCCCUCAGUGUGGUGCAAAUUAUCAGUUUCGAUAGCAAAUUACGAAAAUACCCCUAAUGGGUAAAAAUUCGUAUUUUUGCUCCGAAAAUUCCCAUUAUUUUUCUAGACUCAUAAUUCAUCAUUAAUCAUCAUAAUUCCUCAAAUAAACAUCAAGAUCAUCAGCCAAUAUUCCCCUAGAAAAUUUGGCCAAUAAUGGUAAUGAAGGAAAAUAAAUUCUUUUCUUGUUAUUUUGUUCCUAAAUAUGCUAAACUAACUAAAAACACUAACAUAACUUAAAAUCAAAUUAAUCUAACAACUUUCUCUCUCCUAACCCCUUUUGAUCAGCCAUCAAUUCAUCAUGAAAACAUGUAAUUUAGGCAUGAAAAAUUAGGAGAAAUGCUUAAGGAAGAUAGAUUUCAAGCUUAAGUUGAAAAAUCCUACCUUUUUCACUUGUUUUUCUUGAUUUUCCAUACUUUUUCUCUUGAAAUUCCUCACCUAGGGUUUGUUCUUCCUCUCUUUCUCUCUCUUCCUUGCUUGGCUGAAUAUUUGGAGAGUAAUGGGCUGAUUUAUGCUAUUUUUUUAGUUAAAUAAUAAAAUAUCCUAAGCUUGACACAUGGCAUUUUCUUAUUGGUUAAUUUUUAAAACUUUUAAAAUUUUAAACCUUUUAUCUCCACCACAUGAUUAGUCAAAGGUCAAAAAUGAGGAUAAAGGAAGACCUUGUGCUGGACAAAUGUCUUGGUGGUGGAAAAUUACAAUUUUACCCCUAGAGUGACAAAAUUAUCAUUUUACCCAUAUACUCCAAAUCAUAUCGAAAUUAAAAUUUUUCACUUCUAAACCUCAAAUCAUACUCCAAUAAGUCAAAUGGGACCUAAAAAAUCUUUUUUAAAAUUUUUCAUUUUGGCCCCAAGUGGCAAAUGACCAUUUUGCCUUUGGAUAGUGAAAAUUUCGGUUUGACUCCAAAUUGAUCAUCGAACUCCAAAUCACUAUUUUAAGUCAUCUCUGGACCAUGAAAUUCUUAAUUUCACCUUAAAAUUUCUAUAUGAACUAGUUCAAGGCUUAAUCGACUUAAUGAUACCAUUAGAGGCAGUAUCGUCUUUCAACGAUUUUCUCAAACUUCCUAAAUAUGUAACCAUUCUAUUGAGUAUAUAAAUGACGUCGUAAUUAUUUUAUAAAACAGGGUUUGACAGGUUGGUUGUCUUGGGCUGUCUCUUGCCCAAGGAAGGUAAACCUUUUUCUUUUUGUGGGUUUGGUAUGAUUUUGUUGUAUUGUGCUUGGCCCAAAUAUUUGGUUGGAAAAUAAAUUAGUUUUAGUAUGUGAUUAAUUAAAAUAAAAAAUAAAAAAUAUGCAGUAAAAUUAUCAAAUGUUAAGGUAAAAAUAUAAAGAGAAAAAAGUAAAAAAUUAUAAAUAGAGAGAUAGAUAAAUAUUUAAUAAUAAAGUGAUAGAUUUAGUUAUAUAGAAUAUAAGUGUAUAUAUAUAUAGGAAAAGAUGAAUGCCUAACCAAAAAAUAGUAAUAAAUAAUAGUAGAUCUAGGUUNUAUAUAUAUAUAUAUAUAUAUAUAUAUAUAUAUAUAUAUAUAUUUGAAAAGAUGAAUGCCUAAUGAAAAAAAUAGUAAUAAAUAAUAGUAGAUCUAGGUAAAAAAUACAAAUAUAUGUGAUAGAUAAAUAAAUAUUUAGCAGUAAAAAUAUAAAACUAAGUAAAUAAAAUAAUAUUUAGUUAUAAAAAAUUAAUCUAGCUGAAGGAAAGAAAAUAUAUGAAAAUGUAAAAGUAUAUGUAUAUUUUGUCAUAAGCAAAAUAGACUAAAUAAUGAGUGAAAAUAAUAUUAAUAUAGAUAAUUAUAUGAAAGUGACUUAAAUAAAAAAGGUAGAUAAAAUGUAAAAAGAUAAGUUAGGCAUGUAAAUAGAAAUGAGAUAUUUAACUAUAUAAAUUUAUAUUCAUAUAGGUAUAUAUAAAAAAAAUAAAAGAAUGGGACCUAGUAUGAAAUUAUUAAAUAUAAAAAUAUAACGAUUGUUUUAGGAUCAAUACCAAUGAUAGGAUGUCCAUUCAGAACGUGAGAAGUCAUAAUUCCCAAUGAAUUAUUAGGGACUUUGAUUAAGAUCCCACUAGUACCAUGUGAAGGUUUUAAUUUUGAGUCAUGAUGUUUCCAAUUCUAAAUAAAUAAAAAUUGUAUUAACCUAAUUACUAACCAAACAAAACAUAAAAACAAAGGAAACAAAAUAAUAAUAAUAAUAAUAAUAUACAAGAGGGAAUAGAUAAAAUAUGUAAUUUUAAAAUAUAAGAUUAUAUAAAAUAAGGAUUUUCAAGAUAAUAAAUAAAUAAAUAAUGAUAAUAAAAUUUUUAAAGAGAGUAAGAUGAUAACAAUAAUGAAUAUAGAGAAUAAUCAAUAGCGGACAUAAGAGUUGGUAUAGUACGUCUUGCAUUAUAAUCGCAUUUAAAUGUCAUGGCUUGUAGACAUUACGUGUGCGAGUCCAAAUCUCGAUGAUGGGACUUUUCAAGGGAGCUUGCAAAGGCGAGUUCUUUCAAAAAAUUUCCUAGGUGAAAGGAUACUUUCGAGUCUCACCAGUACGAUAGGAAGGCUCGGAGAAUAUCCUUAAUAAAAAGCUUCUGCUCGUAUUAAGGUCUGCAUUCAUAAAAAUAUUAUUUUUUACUUGCAAACGACUACCCCGAUGAUGGGAUUUACUCGAUAAACUUGCGAAAGUGAGUUUCUCGAGUAUUUUCUAGGUGAGAAAUUACUCUCGGAUCUUACCAGUAUGAUGGGUGAAUUCGAAUUCGCUUAGGACAUCAAUCGAGGACAAUUUUUAACGUCAAAAGAUCAGAUUGUUUACUCUAAAUGGUCUAAGUGUUCAUUACUUGAAAGAUCUAAGGAUUGCUUUGUAAAUUCUUGUAACACCCGACCCUAAAUUAUCUAUGACAUAUCAUUCACAUGCUUUGGAUAGCAUGUUUGUAUAUUGAAUUGCCCGGAAAACAAGUUAAAUGACUGUAUUGCCCCUAAUGGUACGGUUCAGUCAAAUAAGUCUUGAACUAGUUUAAACAGAGAAUCGAGGAUGAAUUUGAAAAAACUAAAACCUAUGGGUUGAUUUAAAAUGAGGAUUCAGAGUUUGAGGUCCGAUAUGGAGUUAAUCCGGACUUUAAGUAUUUUAAGGGUAAAAUGGUAAAUUACCACCUGAGGACGAAUAUGGAAAAUUUUAAUCCCGUUUGAUUAAGAUUGAUUAUAUUAAACAUAUUGGAGUUUAAUUUGAGGGUUUGACAGUGAAAAAAUUUAAUUUCGGUGAUUUCUAGAGUAUAGGGGCAAAAUCAUAAAUUUUUCACCCGCGGACAAAAUUUGAGAUUUUGAGAGAAUUUAGAUCAAAAUUGACAAAUUGGAGAGUGGUACGAGUAUAAGGGAUGAAAAAUAUGUCUAUGGGCAAUUUUUCAGUUUUUGGGGUAAAAAUGUAAUUUUGACUUUUACAGGGGCAAAAGUGUAAAUUUCAAAAAUUACUCCACCAAGACUUUGGAUAAGUCUUAGAAUUUUAUCUAAGCUAUGGAUAUGUUAGACAAGUGUAUGGUGAAAAUUUGGAAAUAAAUGGAUGGCUAGAAUUUAAGGAAUUAAUAAAAAAAAUGAAUAGAAUAAUAUUAUAUUAUUUUAGCCUUUAAAAAUGUCAAAAUUCCAGAAUUCUCAUCUUCUUCAGCCGUCCAAACCAGGAGAGAAAAAGGGGGAAAAGAAAUAAGAACCCUAGCUGAAAAAUUUGGGAAAAAUAAAGAGAAAUCAAGAAAUCAAGCAUUAAAAAGGUAAAUUUCAUUGAUUUUCCUUGUGAUUUUCACUACCCAUGCAUUUGUUUCUCAUUUUCAUGCAAAAUUAGAAAGUGGGUAUAGACACCCAUGCUGGCCAAACCUCCACGGAUGAGUUUUGAACUUGAAUUUUGGUUGAUUUUAAUUAAAUUAAGUGAUUUUAGUUAGGUUAUAUUGAACUAUAGCAAAAAUAAGCUAGAAAAAUAAUUUUCUCCCAUUGAAACCCAUUAUACCGAAUUUUCUAGGGGAAUAUUCGCUGCUGAUCUUGAUGUUUAUUUGAGGAAUUAUGAUGAAUAAUGAUGAAUUAUGAGCCUAGAAAAAUAAUGGGAAUUUUCGGAGCAAAAAAAUGAAUUUUUACCCACUAGGGUUAUUUUCGUUAUUUGCUAUCGAGACUGAUAAUUUGCACCACACUGAGGAACAUUAAGUCAAUUUGGGUGCAAUUGAGGUAUAGAAACUGAAAAAAAAUUAAUUUGGAGUUUAAACGGAUGUGUAUAUCGAUUUAUCCCGAAAUAGGCUAACAUCUCGUUUAGGCAAAAUUUAGACAUUUUGCACUUCAUAUCAUGCAUUAGUAGUAUAAAUUAGCUUAUUUUGGUUUAGUACCAAAGCAGUAAACCUCUUAAUUGUGCAAUUUGUCAAGGUGGCGAAUCCUUUGGUAAGGGUAAAGAAAUUGCACCCGAGGAAUAAUAGUUGGAGUACUCAAAUUUAGUUUUCAGAAACUGUGAGUAAACUUAUUAUCGUCUUAAUUAUCUAGAGUAGUUUUAUACAAUUGUGUGAUUUUAUGAAAAAUGGGUUUAUAUGGUAAAUUGCUAUGUUUUAAGAGAAAUUGUGAUUUUAUAAAAUGAUUUUAUAAAUUUUCUAGAAAAUCGAAUACUGGUUUUGACAAUAGAGUAAUUUGAGACUGCCUGCUUGUGUUGUAAAUUUAUGGUUUUAAAUUGAAUGGCUUAUGACAAUAAAUGAGCAUGAAUGGCUAAACUGAUUUUAGUGUUAGAAUUAUUUGUACUGUGUAUUUAGCCUUGAGAGGCUAGGUUGCGAUAAAUUGCCAUGUCAUGCAGAAAAAGAUUUUAUAAAUCAAGUGGUAGAUAAAAGAUUAGCUACUGCAGUGGUGGGGGGUUCCGUGGGCCAGCCUAUUAGAGGGACACGAUCAACUCCUUUAUAUUCUCACCUCGGUCGUAAAGGCGCGUAGGGUAUCUCCUGAGGUGAGCUUUUUGAGUGCACUUCACGUGGACCACCGCGUGAGAGUGAGACUUAGCCAGCGCUAAGGAACGGCUAUGUUUCAAAAUAAAAAUAUGAUUUAUGCGAAAUAUAAAUUUUUAACAACCUUGGCGGACUUCGUUGGAUACCCCUGGUCCAAGUGUCCCCGAGUACAAGAUUUGGCAUGAGCCAAGUUUUGAGUAAUUCACGAGCCAUAUUGAUUAUUUGGUUGAAAUGAAUAUUCGUUAUGUGAAAAAUUUAUUGAAGUUAAUUAUUUUUAAUUGUCUCCAUUUACUCGCCUUUAGAUAGUUUAGAUGGUGUCUGUUUACUCAUUGGGAUUUUAUAAUCUCACUACCCUCAAUUCCCCACAUUUUAGGUUCGGGAUAGCCAGUAGAUAGCUGAUUGCAUCAAGGACUUCAGUUAGCCUUGCAUUGUCAAAAUUAUAGAUUCACAGACUCGCAUCUUAUUGGUUAGUUGGGGGCCCACGUGUCAUUGUAAAAGUAAUUUUAUACUUUAGUUAUCUGAUUUAAAAUAUGUAUGAACAUAUUUAGCUUUUACACCAUGUUUUUGGCGAGUUUCGGUAUUAUCGAAGAAAAAUGACGAAAAUGCCCUUAUGAGCCAGAAAAUAAUAUUUUAUUAUUUUGAUUUGGAAACGACUUAUGAUUUCUUGAAAUGCAAGAUUUAAUAACUGUCGCUCACCGGGGAGAUGCAGAAACUGAUGCUAAGCCUUGCGGGGUUCCGAUCGGCAUUCGAGGUAAUGAGUGCUUAUCGGGAUGUCGCUGCGGUUGUCACGGCCCGAUGGGAGUUUCGGGUCGUGACAAUUCUCCUUCUUUUCUUUAUUUCAACCCCUACUUUUCACCAUUAUAUAAUUCCACAUGAUGAUUGUCAUAGAAAUGAAUGAUGAUUGGUAAAGAGAUGAACUAAUUAAGUAAGAAACUAUAUUUGUUGUUCAAUAAAAGACUUAAUGAUGAGGAAAAAAGAAAAAAGAGCCUCAACAUGAAAAAGGUCCAAUGUCAAAAGAAAUGAUGCCUAAGGAAAAUUAGGAAUUUCAGCCAAUGGGAAAGGCGUAGACAAAGAUGAGUGAAAGUUGUAGUGAAAAGGUUGGAUGAAGUAAGAAAAGGGUCAAGAAACCUUAAUGAAUCAUAAACAUGAAAACAUUCCAUCAAUUCAAUCGUGUACACAUGCCUAACCAUGCAUAUGAUCAUUUUCAAACAAGAAUCAAAAUUAAUACAUGUUCCAAGGUUCAAAAGUGGAAAUUUAUCGAACCUAAAGUGUUCAGGUUGUAAAACUUUGAUUAAGAUGGAAGUAUUUGAGUAUUUCAUUUUCAUAAAACAACUAAUGCAGAAAGGAUUUAAGCCUAAUUAAGUUGGCACGAGAGAUUCCAAGCCAAAUUUAGUUGACACUAGUAUGAGUUUAAAAAUGAUGUCAAUCCAAUUAAGUUGACAUUAGAUAAUUUAAAAUCGAACUUGUUUUGAAAUAGGUCGAGCCUAGGUCAAGUCUAAGAAUUUUAAUUUUUAAAUCGAAUCUGUUUUGACAUAGGUCGAGCCUAGGUCAAGUCUAGGAAUUUCAAUUUUUUAAUCAAACUUGUUUUGCUAUAGGUCGAGCCUAGAUUGAGUGUAGAAAUUUCAAUUUUUUAAAUCAAACCUAUUUUGAUAUAGGUCCAGCCUAGGUCAAGUUUAGAAAUUCAGUUUUUAAAAUCAAACCUAUUUUGAUAUAGGUUGAGCCUAAGUCGAGUUUAGGAAUUUCAAUUUUUAAAUCGAACCUAUUUUGAUAUAAGUUGAGCUUAAGUCAAAUCUAGGAAUUUUGAUUUUCAAUUUGAACUUAUUUUGAUAUAGGUCGAGCCUAAGUCAAGUCUAGGAAUUUGAAUUUUUAAAUCGAACCUAUUUCGAUAUAGGGCGAACCUAGAUCAAAUCCCAAAAUUUCAAUUUUUAAGUCAAACAUAUUUUAAGAUAGGUCAACCCUAGAUUAAGUUUAAGAACUUCAAUUGUUUAAAUCGAACUUGCUUUAAGAUAGGUCAAAUAUGGUGCUUACGUCUUUGCACUAUUCUUGAUUCUCAAGAAUGUGUAAAGAGAGGCAACUGUAGCACCUAUACCCAUAGAUCUCAAAUAAAAAAAAUAAUAAAUAAUAAAUAAAUUGCUCUUAAAAAAAUUGAAAUUGAUGGUUUUAGUAUUCUUAGCCUCUUUCUCCCAUAGUCAACUGAUCAGAUGUUCAAGCCGAUGGCUACCCUAUUGCUUUUCUAAGCACCGUCACUUUGAUACUUAGGAAACAGCUUGCACAAGGCAUUUAAUGCCCUUUGGGUAGCUAGAUUUGGGUCACCUCUAGCUGCCAUCCCUAGGUUUUCUUUUACAUGGAGCCCUUCAUUUGUAAAAUCAUGCUAAAAAAAGCAUGAUUUCAUUUCUAGAUUGUCCAAAAACUUGGAAAAUCGAGUUCUAUAAGAACCCUUGAAAUUCAUAAGGAAGAGGGGGCAAUUUCACAAAACUUAGCAGCCAAUUUCAUCACAGAAGCCUUAGGCAACCAAUUUCAAAAAAAGAGAGAAAACCCUAGAGCAAAAGAAAAACUCAAAAAAAUCCUAACUUUCUAUCCUAUCAAACAACCAAAUACCAUAAUCAAAAGAUUUAAGAAAAGCUGAAAUAAAAAUAACAAAUAGCAAUAAAAAAAAAGGCCUUGAAAAUUCGAAAACUAGAAAAGACUAAGGGGGUUUGUUUUUCUUUCUUUUCUUUUGGGAUCUUCACGAGAUUUGGGGAAUUUAGGGUUGGUGGUUUUUGAUCGGCUUGGUUGGGGAGUGAUUGUGAAGGGAAAAUAGAGAAAGUUGAUGAAAUCGAGAGAGAAAAAGGGCAAUUGACGAGGUAGGCCGGCAGUGAGAGUAGUGAUAAUAUAGGGAAAUAAGAAAGGGUGAAGAAAGGGGUUGAAAAACCAGCUUCAGAGAAGGGGAAGGAAUACUGUCAUUAGAGAGAGAAAAUGGGAAGGUGAAGUGAAGAGAGAAGAAAGAAAAAUAGUUUUUAUACUUAAGGUUAGCACUUAAAAACGACAUUAUUUUGGGAAGUAAAAAGGGAAGGAGCAUCAGUCAAAUGAUGUCGUUUCGAGCGUUUGGGAAGUUGUAGCAUAAGCACUAAAACGGUGCGAUUUGAGUAAGGCUUUGUGAGCCUUUGGAAACAGAUUUGUUGAAGUGGGUUUGGUUGUCUUGGGCCGCCGUUUGCCCAAGGAAGGUAAACCCUUUUCCUUUGUGGGUUUGGUAUGAUUUUGUUGUAUUGUGCUAGGCCCAAAUAUUUGGUUAGAAAAUAAAUUAGUUUUAGUAUGUGAUUAAUUAAAAUAAAAAAUAAAAAAUAUAUAGAAAAAUUAUCAAUUGCUAAGGUAAAAAUAUAAAGUGGAAAAAGCAAUAAAUUAUAAAUAGAGAGAUAGAUAAAUAUUUAAUAAUAAAGUGAUAGAUUUAGUUAUAUAGAAUAUAAGUGUGUGUGUGUGUGUGUGUUAUACCUAUCAAAAUGGGCUUGGCCCAUUGGGCCAACCCAUUUUUCAUUUAAUAUGGGGUGGGCUGGGCCAUGAAAAUUUAGGCCCAUAUUUAAACCGGGCCUAGAUGGGCCAGCCCACCAAAUCAAUAGGCUAGGGUGGGUUGGGGCGGCCAGCCCUAUGGGCCAAAAAAAUUAAUAAUUUUAAUUAAUUUAAUAACUUUAUAUAUUUAAUUAUAUAAAAGUAAUAAUUUAAUUGCCAAUAAUAUUACUUAUUUUAUAUAUUUUAAUGUGUUUUGUCACGACCCGAAACUCCCAUCGAGCCCGUGACAACCACCGCGACGUCUCGAUAGGCACUCAUUACCCCGAAUGCCGAUCGAAACCCUGUAAGGCUUAGCAUCAGCUUCUGCAUCUCUCCAGUGAGCGACAGUUAUUAAAUAUCACAUUUCAAAAAAAUCAUAAGUCAUUUCCUAUUCAAAACAAUAAAAUAUUAUUUUUUGGCUCACAAGGGCAUUUUAGUCAUUUUUCUUCGAAAAUACCGAAAUUCACCAAAAACAUGGUGUAAAAGCUAAAUAUAUUCAUACAUACUUUAAAUCAAAUAACUGAAGAAUAAAAUUACUUUUACAGUGACACGUGGGCCCCCAACUGACUAAUAAAAUGUAGGGUUACGAACCCUUACUUUCUAAGAUGCAACUCCGAGAUUAAUUCUCGUCUUAAUCAACUAUCAACAAAUUGUCCUGAGCCUGAAAAAUGGAUAGGAAGAGGGGUGAGAUUAUGAUUACAUAAUCCCAGUGAGUAGACAGACAUCAUCAAAAUAAUCUAAAGCCGAGUAAUAGGAGACAAUUAAAAUAAUUCAUCCCAACCCAUAUAAAUAAUUGGAUUUCAUUCAAUUACUCAACAUGGCUUAUGCACUUUUCAAAAACUUGGCCCUUGCCAAAAAUCCAUUCUCGGGGAUACCCCGCGAAGGCAUCUUACCGAGACCGCCAAGGUUGUUUAUUGUCACACACACAAACACAUUUCACCUUUGACAACACAGCCGUUCCUCGGCGUUGGCUGAGUCUCAGUUUCACGUGGUGGCCAGCGUGAAGUGUACUCAAAUCCUACCUCGGGAGUUAUCCUACGUGCCUCUCCAAUCGAGGUAAGCUCAAUAAUUGGGAACCGUGCCCCUCUAAUUAGGCUGGCCCACGGAACCCCCGUCACUGCAGUGCCCAAUUUAUAAUCCACAAACCAAUAAAAUCACAAUAGUAUGACAUGGCUCACUUAACACAUUCAAGGCAAAUCAAAGCAGUUCACAUAUUCUCGAAAUCACAAAAAUAACCAGUCAUACCCACAUUUAUCAUAAGCCAUUUAAUGAAAAUCAUGGAUAAACAACACAAUCAUAGUAUAGGUAUCCAAUUACUCUAUUUUUGAAAUCAUUAUUAAAUUUUCAAAAAUUUUAUAAAAUUAUUUUAUAAAAUCUCAUUUUUCCAUAAAACACAAUAAUUUUCCAAUUAAACCAUUUUNNNNNNNNNNNNNNNNNNNNNNNNNNNNNNNNNNNNNNNNNNNNNNNNNNNNNNNNNNNNNNNNNNNNNNNNNNNNNNNNNNNNNNNNNNNNNNNNNNNNNNNNNNNNNNNNNNNNNNNNNNNNNNNNNNNNNNNNNNNNNNNNNNNNNNNNNNNNNNNNNNNNNNNNNNNNNNNNNNNNNNNNNNNNNNNNNNNNNNNNNNNNNNNNNNNNNNNNNNNNNNNNNNNNNNNNNNNNNNNNNNNNNNNNNNNNNNNNNNNNNNNNNNNNNNNNNNNNNNNNNNNNNNNNNNNNNNNNNNNNNNNNNNNNNNNNNNNNNNNNNNNNNNNNNNNNNNNNNNNNNNNNNNNNNNNNNNNNNNNNNNNNNNNNNNNNNNNNNNNNNNNNNNNNNNNNNNNNNNNNNNNNNNNNNNNNNNNNNNNNNNNNNNNNNNNNNNNNNNNNNNNNNNNNNNNNNNNNNNNNNNNNNNNNNNNNNNNNNNNNNNNNNNNNNNNNNNNNNNNNNNNNNNNNNNNNNNNNNNNNNNNNNNNNNNNNNNNNNNNNNNNNNNNNNNNNNNNNNNNNNNNNNNNNNNNNNNNNNNNNNNNNNNNNNNNNNNNNNNNNNNNNNNNNNNNNNNNNNNNNNNNNNNNNNNNNNNNNNNNNNNNNNNNNNNNNNNNNNNNNNNNNNNNNNNNNNNNNNNNNNNNNNNNNNNNNNNNNNNNNNNNNNNNNNNNNNNNNNNNNNNNNNNNNNNNNNNNNNNNNNNNNNNNNNNNNNNNNNNNNNNNNNNNNNNNNNNNNNNNNNNNNNNNNNNNNNNNNNNNNNNNNNNNNNNNNNNNNNNNNNNNNNNNNNNNNNNNNNNNNNNNNNNNNNNNNNNNNNNNNNNNNNNNNNNNNNNNNNNNNNNNNNNNNNNNNNNNNNNNNNNNNNNNNNNNNNNNNNNNNNNNNNNNNNNNNNNNNNNNNNNNNNNNNNNNNNNNNNNNNNNNNNNNNNNNCCAUGAUGAUAAAAUCCCUUGGUCUUGACAAGUGUUGAGGUGAAAAUUUACCGAUUUGCCCCCAAGGUGGCAAAAUUAACCAUUUCACCCUUAUACUCCAAAUUAUACCGAAAUUAAAAUUUUUCACUUCUAAACUUCAAAUCAUACUCCAAUACUCAAAUCAUACUCCAAUAAGUCAAAUGGACCAAAAAAAUCUUUUCUAAAAAUUUCCAUUUUGUCCCCAAGUGGCAAAUGACCAUUUUGCCCCUAAAUAGUGAAAAUUCCGGUUUGACUCCAAAUUGAUCCUCGAACUCCGAAUUACCAUUUUGAGUCAUCCCUGAACUGUGAAACUCUUAAUUUCACCUUAAAACUCCUAUUUGAACUAGUUCAAGGCUUAAUCGACUUAAUGAUACCAUUAGGGGCAAUAUCGUCUUUCAACGAUUUCUCAAACUUCCUAAAUAUGUAACCAUUCUAUUGAGCAUGUAAAUGACGUUGUAAUUAUUUUAUAGAAUAGGGUUUGACAUGUUUAAUCUUUACUUAUCAAAUUAAUAAUUUUAAUUUAUGAAUUAAAUCAUAACAUAAUUUUAUUAAUAGAAAAUUUAUUAACUAAAAUUAUAAAAAUAAUUUUUUUUUUGUAAAAAAAGAAAUGGGCUGGCCCAACCCAGCCUAUGGGCUAGCAAGGGGUGGGAUGGGUUGGGGAUUUCACAACCCAUAUAAAAAAUGUGCUAGCCCAGCUCGGCCCAUAUUUUUUUAGCCCAUAAUGGCUAGGGUCGAGCUGGCCCAUAUUGACAGGUCUAGUGUGUGUGUGUGUGUAUAUAUAUAGGAAAAGAUGAAUGCCUAACAAAAAAAAAUAGUAAUGAAUAAUAGUAGAUCUAUGUUAAAAAUACAAAUAUAUGGGAUAGAUAAAUAAAUAUUUAGCAGUAAAAAUAUAGAACUAAGUUAAUAAAAUAAUAUUUCUAAAUUUCAAAGUGACUCGCUAAAUCAAAAAUUUUUCUAAAUUUCUAAAUUAGUAAUAAAUAUUGUUUUAUGAAUUUCUAAAUUUCAAAGUGACUUGCUAAAUCAAAAAUUCCUUUUAAGAAUUGAUUGCAAAUAUGCAAAAGAAGUUUUACAACAAGAUGUAAUUCCUGUGUUUUUAUGAGUGUAUUGAAUUUCUGUAAGAGGGGGAUGUGUUUUUAUUUCUCCUUUAUUAGUUUGCUAUUUGUUAUUAGUUUUUACUGUAUUUAUUGAUUGCUCAUAAUGAUUUUUAAACCAGUUAAAGAAUUCUAUUAAUAUUUUGUUCUUAUUCAUAAAAUUGUAAUAUUCUUUUAGGAUUUCAUCUUUUUGUUGUUCAUAAUAUUUGAAAUAAUUUUCUCUUUUUUGUUUAUUUGUCUUUGAAUAAAAUUGUUUUCUACACCAAUCUUUGUCUAUUUCAAAUUCUUUUUCUAACAUAAAUAUUUCUAAAUUUUGCUCUUCAUUUGAGUUUAAAUUUGGAUUAUUUAUCAUAGAUGAGUAUGUUGGUGACAUAUUGGGAGAAUUUGUUGAACUAUUUCUUUGGGUUGUGUAAACAGGUUGGGGUAUAUUGGAGGAGUUGUUUACUCUUUGUAGAUUUGUCCUAACUGUUGAAGGUAUUGAGGAUACAGAGGCUCUAGCCGUUCUAAAUUCUGUUUUUGUUACAGAUGGAUUUUUGCUUGCUAUGUUGAUGUUUCUCAUGGAAGAUGUUAUUUGAUCAAAAUCAAAAGAUUGUCUGGGAGGUAUUCUUGGGUGUCUAUUGAAGACAAGUUCCACUAAACCAUCUCUAUAUUCAGCUAUAUGAUUUAUUUCUGUAUUUUGAAUAACUAUUGGUACAAGAAAAAAAAUAUGUUAAAAACUAAACCCUAAACCCUAAACCCUAAAGAUGAAUGCCUAACAAAAAAAAAUAGUAAUGAAUAAUAGUAGAUCUAUGUUAAAAAUACAAAUAUAUGGGAUAGAUAAAUAAAUAUUUAGAAGUAAAAAUAUAGAACUAAGCUAAUAAAAUAAUAUUUAGUUAUGAAAAAUUAAUCUAGCUAAAGGAAAGAAAAUAUAUGAAAAAGUAAAAAUAUAUGUAUAUUUUGUCAUAAGAAAAUAGACUCAAUAAGGAGUGAAAUAAUAUUAAAAUAGAUAAUUAUAUGAAAGUGAGUUAAAUAAAAAAGGUAUAUAAAAUGUAAAAGAUAAGUUAGGCAUGUAAAUAGAAAUGAAAUAUUUAAUUAUAUAAAUUUAUAUUCAUAGAGGUAUAUAUAUAAAAAAUAAAAGAAUGGGACCUAGUAUGAAAUUAUUAAAUAUAAAAUAUAAUGAUUGAUUUAGGAUCAAUAGCGAUGAUAGGAUGCCCAUUCGGAAUGCGAGAAGUCACAAUUUCCAAUUAAGUUUCUUAGGUUAGGGAUUUUGAUUAAGACCGUACAGUAUGAUAGGAGGGUUUUAAUUUUGAGUCCCGAUGUUUCUAAUUCUAAGUCAAUGAAAAUCGUAUUAACCUAAUUACUAACCAAUAAAACAUAAAAACAAAGGAAUCAAAAAAUAAGGAAAAUAAUAAUAAUAAUAAUAAUAGUAAUAAUAAUAAUAGUUAUAAAUACAAGAGGGAAUAGAUAAAAUAUGUAGUUUUAAAAUAUAAGAUUAUAUAAAAUAAGGAUUUUCAAGAAAAUAAAUAAAUAAAUAAUGAUAAUAAAUUUUUAAAGAGAGUAAGAUUAUAAUAAUAAUGCACAUAGAGAAUAAUCAAUAGUGGACAUUAGAGUUGGUAGUACAUCUUGCAUUAUCAUCGCGUUUAAAUGUCAUGGCAUGUAGACAUUACAUGUGUAAGUCUAAGCCCCAAUGAUGGGACUUUUCAAGGGAGCUUGCGAAGGCGAGUUCCUUCGGAAAAUUUCUUAGAUGAGAGGAUACUUUCGAGUCCCACCAGUAUAAUGGGAGAACUAGGAGAAUAUCCUUAAUAAAAGACUUCUGCUCGUAUUUGGGUCUACAUUCAUAAAAAUAUUAUUUUUUUACUUGCAAGCAACUACCCCGAUAAUGAGAUUUACUCGUUAAACUUGUGAAGAUGAGUUUCUCGGGUAUUUCCCUAAGUGAUAGAAUACUCUCGGAUCCUACUAGUAUGAUGUGUGAAUUCAAAAAAUACCCUCUAUGAAAGGUUUUCGUUUGGCAUUAUCUAGAUUUUAUGCCAUGCAUUUCAUAAUUGCAUCAUGUAUACGUCACACACGUAAAACCGAAUAAAAUUUUUUAAUUUGCAAAUAAAAUAAAGAAUAAAGUAAAUAAACAAUAAUUAGGAAAACAUAAGAAUAAAAUCAAUAGUUUAGGUUAUAAUAAGAUAACAUAUGAUUAAAUGGUACUGUUUGUGAAAUGGGUGUUAUAGGGGUGCUAAUCCUUCCCUAUGCGCUAUCAUACUCUUGAGCCCAAUUUUAAAAAUUUACAGACCAGUUUAUUGUUCUUUAGAUGAACUUAAAAUCAAUUUAGGAUUCCAUCAAAUAGAACAAAUUAAACAAGUGACCAAUCGCACUUAAAUAAAAAAAAUUGGUGACAACUCUUAGUUUUUUUCAAGUCUCGUAGUUGGGUUCCCGGACCCGUAUGUUACAAUAGCUCCUUUUGUUGGUUGUUGUAAAAAUAGGAAAAGUUAGUACAAAGUCUAACUCGUCUUUCAGUGAGAGGAUAAAUGCUUAUGCUUCACUUUUUUUGUUCUUACUUAUAACCCAUUACAUUAUUAAAGUACUCUCAUUAUGAGUGACUUGAUAAUAUUAUCAUGUUUAGUUAAUAGUUAUUUAUAAUGAAGAAUUAAAAAUCAUCAUGUUUGGUAUCACAUAAAAAUCAUAUAUAAUUUUGUUUAAAAUAUUAAAAUAACAAUAAUAAUUUGAAUAUUUUAUAAAGAUACUAAAUUUUUAUUUAAUGUCUCAUAUAUAAGAUAUACUUAAAAGGUUUUAUCAACAAACAUGAAAAAGUAUGUUUAUCAAUAGGUAAAUUAACUUUCAAAAUAGUAAUCACAUAAAAAUCUUUGCAUGAAUGAGAAAAUGAUAAUGAAAUUUGCUGAGAAAACAAAAAUUAUAUUUCGUAUUAAAAAAUAAAAAGCAAAGAAAAUCAUGUAAUUUAAUUUUGGGUUCAAUAUAAAAAAUAGUAGUUUUGAAAAUGACAAAUAUUUAUUAUGUAAAAAUAACAACAAUCUCGUGAGAAAACAAGUUAUUCAUUCAAACAUUAAAAAAAAUAAUAUUCAUAAUUAAUCUUACAAAUCACUUCACAUCGAUUAAUAUAGUUUUUCAUCAUUUCGGAUGGGAUUAGAUCACCCUCCAAAGUGACAUACUCACUCUUAGUGAUCUUAGAUCACCAUCAUGUAGAAAACUAUGUUCCUAAACACGGUUAAUAUAAUUAACAAGUGUUGAUCACCAUGAAUCUCAAGGUGAUCGUCUAAGAUCAAACGUCAUCUUAGUGAUUGUUAUUCCUUUUCAGAAAGCAUAAUAUAUAAAAAAACUCCUAAAUUAUUUAAGAAAAUUUAAAUAAAUUUUUAUAUUUUUGUUGCGUUUAAUCAAACCCUUAUACUUUUAUUUUGAACCAAACAAGUCCUUAUAUUUUUAUUUUAAAUCAAAUAAGCCCUUAUGAUUAAUGAUUGAUUUAAUCAAAAUGUCAUUUAUUAUCUAUGCCAUAUAAAGCUAAUGUUGCACGCUAAAAUAUUGUAAUUGAUCAUGAUGUGGUAUGUUGAUAUAUCAUAGGAGAUGAUUUUAUAACAUACUAAUUUAGUAUGAUAACCUGACCAUGUGACUUUUUUCACCCUCUACAUCAUAUUUCAUGUCAGUUCCAUGUCGAAUAUAAAAUAAAAAAUGACAUUUUUAUUGAUGAUAAUUAGUCAAUUAUUAGUUAUAAAAAUUUAUUUGACUCAAAUAAAAAUAUAAGAAUUUGAUUAAUCACAAUAAAAGAAUAAAGACUUAUUUGAAUAUUUUUAAAUAGUUUAAGGACUUAUUUGAGUAUUAUGCCUUUUUAGAAUGAAUAAGAUUUAAGAUUCGAAUUCAUCUCCUUCAUUGGAAUUCUUGUAUAUAUCGAGAAACAAAUUGAGCUCAAAUAUAAAUCUAGGAUUUAUAGAUAUUUCUCCUUUAUAAUGAAUUAUGAUCUCUAAACAUCUCUCAAUCAACCUAAAGAUCAUUUCAAGGGCUCCCUUCAGGAUAAAGCCCCCCAAAAAAAAAAAAACCUAAAGAUCAUUUCAAUGAGUCGAUUGAAUUCUUUAACUCAAUAAAUUUGCACCUUUGAAACCGUGGCUAGUUCAUAUCUCAAUAAUCUAUGGUUUUUUUUUUCUUUUAAUAUUUGAUUUGGUCCAACAUUUAACCCUACUCUUGUUUUUAGCUAUGGACUCAAAAAAUGCAACCAAGAAAAAAUCAAGGAAAAAAAAAAGAAAGAAAGAAGAAAACUACAAAAGUGUGAACCAGCAAUUGUAGCAAGCCAGACAAAACAGGUGGGUCAUGGGUUCCCAACCAAAAAGGGUGAAGUAUCCAUGUUGAUUAUGCUACCCUUUGCCGACCAAAAAACAAAAGGAAUAAAGCACAAAGCAACACAUGACUUGAACAGCCGAAUUCUCUAACAAAACUUUUUCGAUGAACCCAAUUCUUUUUUUAUUUUUAUUUAAUAAAAAAAGAAAGAAAAGAUAUUUUAUAUUUACAGCACAUCUCCUAGAAGUCUCCACAAUGGACCUAACUAUCCCUUGUCCUUGCACUUAUGCGUGUUUUGUGUGCUUAUCCUUUGGAGAGGAACUAAGCUAUACACACAGAGAGAAAAGACUAGAGAUAUAGCUGCUCACACGUGAUUUCACUGAAUUACAAGUCCCACAUGAAAUAAGCUUGAGCUUCUUUCUCAAAUCGUCUGGUUUAUGAACAAAACAAGGGAAUUGCAAAGGAGGUAUGGAUCAGAUGGGAUUCAGCUUUUAUCCAAUGUAAUGUAUAGACCAUUUCAUAGAGAAGUUAAGACUAACAUUUUAUGAUGAAUUGUGUGAUUGUAGCUUAAGAUUUUUUCUACGUUUACAAGCUAAGUGUAACCCAAAGAGUAUAUUAUUUGUUUUUGGGUUUUUUAACUACAAAAUUUUUGUGCUAUUACAUUUGUAGGGGUAAGCCUCCAAUGCUGAGUUGUGUUGUCCCUUUGUGUCUUGGUGAUUACAUGCAUAAUUUAUUGAACUAUCGCAUUUUGUUCAUGUUUCUUCAUACUUGCACGUUCCUUGUCUUUUACAUGAUAAUUUAAUGAUUCUUUUGAGUGAGAGUAAUUAAAAUUUUUGGAACCUUCCUAUAAAAUAAGCUUAACUAUUUCUUUUGUAGCUCACCAAAAGUUCACCAAACAAGCAUAGACUUAUUCCUCUUUCUUUUGUCCUUUUAAAGUCCGUCUCUUAUGGAUCAACGGAUGAUCCACAAAGAAAUGUGUAUUCCAAGGCAAAUUGAGUUAAGUUUAAGGAAUGAAGCUUGUUGGAAAGACAACUUUCUUUCAAAACUCAAACAUGUUGAUAGCUUUGAUGGAAAAGAGUUUCCAAUGACUUUAAUCUAAUAUAAUACUACAAAGACUAACAAUAAUAAUAUAGAGAAGAAGAAUCUCACAACAUCAUUUACACAUGGCACACAUGCAGAACCCCAAAUAGCCUGAAAACCCCGAGUGCAAACAUGUGAUUUAAAUCCAUUCUGCCCAUAAAUAAUCAUGGGAUUGAAUGAUCUAACGAAGGCAAAAUAAACAAUUACGGGAAAGUUUGGGAAAGAAGGCUGAGGAAAAGAGAAAAGGGACGCUGCAGCUACUUGAUCAGGCCCAUGCAGGGAAUGUGCUGAACAUGCUGUACAUUUCAUGCUGCUGCACUGUCUCACCUUUGUCACAUGCCAUCACUCCUUCAAAUCUACACUCCAAAUCCUCUCUCUCUCUCUCUCUCCCCCCAUGUGCUUCUCUUACUCCCAAUGGGGCUUUGCUGGCCCAUAUCACUUUCACAUGCACCCUCUAGGGAAGCCACAACGCUGUAAAACCCUAAAUCCAACUAGCUCACAGCCUCUCCAUUUUGCCCCAUUCAUUGACUCAAAUGCCCUCUAUACCUAUUUUAGUCUCCAUUGUCUUGUAUUUAUUUUAGGAUCGUACUCUUAUCAUUCUUCAUUAUUGUUGCCUUUUACCUUUUAAGUUUUGGAUCAUAUGGGGUUCCAAAUGUCAAUUAUAUUACUAAUCUUGUCGGCUCCAUUCCAUACUCAAAACAUUAUCUCCAUCUAUAUGUACAUAUAAUAAUCACCUAGGUUUAUCCUCUUUUCACAUCUCUAGGUUGACAAAUUUUUGGUCGUUUUGUCUAUCAAAUUAUCAAUCAAUUCUAAUUUCUUUUCAAUCUUUUUUUAAUUCCUCAAACGUUGGAGGCCACCUAUUUUUUUCUCUCUCUUUUUUAACUAUCAAUAUAUGAAUUACGAGUUUAAGGAGAAGAGGAGAUUUGAACUUAAGACUGUAAUCAUUUUUAAGUAAACAAGGAUAAAUUCUUACAAUAUUUUUUUCUUAAAAAUGCAAUUUUAUUUGAGGGAAGGGUGUUUAGGGAAAGAAACAAUUUGAACGUUUUCCAACUCCGCAUGUGGCGUUACAGAUAGGCAGGCUUUUUUUGGGUGCCAAGCCCUCCCUCCCUCCCUCGCGGGCUUGCAAGUUGUUCCUCUUCCCGCUUUAACUUUUCAAGUGAGAUACGAAAUUGGUGUCCUUUUCUCACCAAAAUCAGAAAAGCAACCUAACCUAAUAACAAGUAAGCAAAAGAAAAAUCUGUAUACGUAGGGCCUCCUUCAACAGCAUCCUACUUGAUUAGGAGCCACACCCAUGGACUUUCAAACACCCAAUCAAAACUCAAUGAUCUGCCCUUCCUUUAUGACUAUAUUUUUGUGGCAAAAUUUGUUGGCGUCUUUUUCCUACUACCCUUUUCCUUUGCUAAUUCAACUAGCCAAGUUGCUCCCAUAUUUGGGGGUCCUUUUUUUAAUAAAAUCCUCCCUGUUACAAGUUUAAAUGUAUCUUUCAUCAUUGAACGCUUACAUUCAUAUACAGAUAUAUUCAUAUACAUAUAUACAUUUGUAUAUAUAAUUUUGUGUAUAAUACAUUAGGUAAUUAUAAAAUUAUAUAUGGUACAAAUUCUCAUGUUAAAAAAAUCUAAUUGAUCGAAAUAUAAUAAGUUUGAUAUGUUCAAGGGAUCGUCCAUAAUUACAAGAGGGAAAGUAUGUCAACUAUUCUGUUUGUUUGUAUGUGAAAUGAUGAAAGUAUUGUAAGUUACUUGAAGGUAAUGUAUACAUCCGAGGAAAAAAGGGUCCUAAAAGCAUUUAUUUUUAUUUAAUGAAGGAGGACGUUGGCUACCGGAGGCUUAUUUGGUACAUGAUGUGGUUAACCUUUGUGUUGACAUGACAAAUUAAUGUCAAUGGAUAGGUAAAUCCUACAAGUAUUCUGCAGAGUUAAUUUGAACUCACCCAACUCCAUCAAACUUGUCAAAAUGGUGUGUAAAUUCAAGUGGUAUAUAUGUAAAAUCUUUACUGAACUUUUGAGGUCAUGCAUGAUAAUUUUGACUUUCUUUUAUUUGUGAUUUCGUUUACCGACCAUUGCAUCAUGCCCCUUAAAACUUUUCGGUCAAGACACAUGUGCAUUAUGUUUAAUAUAAACUAUUUAUAUGCUCAAUGUUAAUUUUUCUUAUAACUAAUUUGAAGAAAAUAUUUGAGUUCACGUGCUACUUUGUAAUUUGAAAAAUACUGUUGAAUUCAAUUCACAAUCAUAAUUAUGUCCAUUUAAGAUUUAAGUUUCAAUUCUCUUUCUUUCAAAACUAUUGAAAAAGAAGGCCAAGCAAUACAUACAUAUAUAAUUAUCAUUUCUUUAUCGUGUCUAAAUCUUUUUCUUUGACUUAAGAUACAUGAUCAAUUUUAAACCACGUUCUUCUCUUUUCAAGGGUAUUUCAUAUACGCAACGCUAUUUUAAAAAUAUCAAGGCCAAUAAAAUGGCAUUUCUGUAACAACUCAUAAAACAGGUGGCAAAUUCUUAACUUGCACUUACAAAAACCCCGUUACCCCUUCUCUGUACUCUCCAAAGAAAAACCUGCUCACCCUUUUCUUCUUCCUUUCUCUUGGAAACAACACUCCCCCCACCCCCCAAAAAAGGAAAGAAAAAAACAAAGGAAAAAUGAGAAUCCAAAAAACCUUCAAAAAUUCAUUGAAGAAAGCUCAAAGAAAAUCAUCAACAUCAAGAAGAGCAAGAAAUAUAGCGAGAAGACGAGUUGUUCAUGCACGUGGCUGCAAGAGAAGAAGCUUUGUCAAGUGUUCCAAGAAGGUUUCAGACAAGCUCAAAGCUCUCAAGAGUCUAAUUCCUCAUGUCCCAAAUGGAAGUAACGAGAUAGUUAAAGCAGAACAGCUGUUCCAAGAAACUGCAGAUUACAUCAUUGUUUUGAAGACCCAAGCUUUUGUCCUGCAAAAGCUGAUUGAGUUUUAUGAUGGGUCUAGAAAUGAGCAGCAAAAUGUUCAAGAAGAAUCAUCAUAGUCAUUAAUUUGAACUUCUUUUUUUCUGUUUUCAUUUUCAUGCAAGACAAGAAGAAAAAAAAGAGAAAAAAAGAAGAAGAGAAGAUCUUUUGGUACUUGUUUGAUGGAGGAGAAAGUGAAGGAAAAUGGAAAGGAAAUGGAAAGGGUUUUUCUCGGAAUAUAUUACAUAUAUGCAAAUUGCUGGACUUGCGAGGCAUAGCCAUGUUACAUAAGAAAUUUUUUCUCUUCUUUUCUCAUUCUCUUGGCAUGUUUAGAUUUUAGGUGUGACUAGAAAAAUUAAAAAAAAAAAAAGCAAUCUCAGUAGAGUGCAUUGGGAUUUGGAAUUUCCAAUACUACUAGUAAAGAUUUUCUUUUCUUAACGAGUAUUAAAUUAUUGAAAUUUGUUCAUUUAUUUGAAGAGACUAUUUACAAGUUUUUAAACCAUGGUGUUGCUUAUUUUGCUCUGACACUAAACAGGAAAAAUAUCAAUUUCUCAUUAAUACAGAAAUUAUUGCUGUAUUUAUGAAUUAUAUAUCCGAUGUGAAUUUUUUUUUUUUUAGAUAGAUGUCUCGAAUUUAAGGGAGUGCAGAGAGAAAGAGUAUGGGAAGGGAAGUAUGAUCUUUGACAUAAUUAUCUUUAAGUAAAAUGGGAAGAAGUGGCCCUUGUCAUAUGGGUGAAGGCAUGCUUCUGUCUCUCCCCGUGGUUAUGAAUUGUGAUGAAAGUGACUUGUUACUCAGCUGUGAAAGAAACCCACGUGCAAAAGCCAAUUUUUUUGGUAAGAAAGCUUGCAGUUUGGCCCUCUCUCUCUCCUUUCAUUCACAUGGGAUGGUGAGUGCUUGCCUCUUUAUUUUUCUUCCAAAUGUCUAAUAUCUGAAUGUAUAUCAAGUACCGUCAAUGAUUGAGAAGAUAAAUU